rnacentral:rRNA from 1 species
UACAGAGGGUGCGAGCGUUGUUCGGAAUUAUUGGGCGUAAAGGGCGCGUAGGCGGCGCCACAAGUCACCUGUGAAAACUCUGGGCUCAACCCAGAGCCUGCAGGCGAAAACUGUGGUGCUGGAGUAUGGGAGAGGUGCGUGGAAUUCCCGGUGUAGCGGUGAAAAUGCGUAGAUAUCAGGAGGAACACCGGUGGCGAAGGCGGGUCUCUGGGCCAUUACUGACGCUGGAGGAGCGAAAGCGUGGGGGAGCGAAACAGG